UACAGAGGUCCCAAGCGUUGUUCGGAUUCACUGGGCGUAAAGGGUGCGUAGGCGGUUGGGUAAGUCUGACGUGAAAUCUCCGGGCCUAACCCGGAAACUGCGUUGGAUACUAUCCGGCUAGAGGAAUGGAGGGGAGACUGGAAUACUUGGUGUAGCAGUGAAAUGCGUAGAUAUCGGGAGGAACACCAGUGGCGAAGGCGGCCUUCUGGCUCGCAACUGACGCUGUAGCGCGAAAGCGUGGGGAGCGAACGGG
rnacentral:rRNA from 1 species